rnacentral:rRNA from 1 species
GAUGAACGCUGGCGGCGUGCUUAACACAUGCAAGUCGAACGAGAAGUGAAGACGGAAACCUUCGGGCGGAAGGCUUUAUUUCGAGUGGCGGACGGGUGAGUAACGCGUGGGUAACCUGCCUCAUACAGGGGGAUAACAGUUGGAAACGACUGUUAAUACCGCAUAAGACCACAGCACCGCAUGGUGCGGGGGUAAAAACUCCGGUGGUAUGAGAUGGACCCGCGUUCGAUUAGCCAGUUGGCGGGGUAACGGCCCACCAAAGCGACGAUCGAUAGCCGAUCUGAGAGGAUGACCGGCCACAUUGGGACUGGGACAAGGCCCAAACUCCUACGGGAGGCAGCAGUGGGGAAUAUUGCACAAUGGGGGAAACCCUGAUGCAGCGACGCCGCGUGAGUGAAGAAGUAUUUCGGUAUGUAAAGCUCUAUCAGCAGGGAAGAAAAUGACGGUACCUGAGUAAGAAGCCCCGGCUAACUACGU